GUAAUGUCAUCAAGCUCUGCAUCGACAAGCGCGGCGUACUGAAAAACCAGACCUUCAUCACCACCGACCGCGUGGAGAUCAAUUUCGACAUGCCGCUGUCGGAGAUCGUCUUCGACUUCUACGACAAGCUCAAAUCGAUUUCGAAGGGCUACGCCUCGUUCGACUACCACCGCACGGGCUAUCAACUCUCGAAGCUGGCCAAGCUGGACAUCCUGCUCAACGGCGAGCCGGUCGACGCGCUCUCGUCGCUCAUCUACGCCGACCACGCCUACGACUUCGGCCGCAAGAUGUGCGAAAAGCUCAAGGAGCUGAUCCCGCGCCAGCAGUUCGACAUCGCCAUUCAGGCAGCUAUCGGCGCCAAGAUCAUCGCCCGCGAAACGGUGAAGGCCGUGCGCAAGGACGUGACGGCCAAAUGUUACGGCGGCGACAUAUCACGCAAGCGCAAGCUGCUCGAAAAACAGAAGAAAGGCAAGAAACGCAUGCGCCAGAUAGGCAACGUGGAGGGCCGGGUACGGGCGGGCUGGAGUGCGGUAGGGGAGACUGGAAUUCCCGGUGUAACGGUGGAAUGUGUAGAUAUCGGGAAGAACACCAAUGGCGAAGGCAGGUCUCUGGGCCGUUACUGACGCUGAGGAGCGAAAGCGUGGGGAGCGAACAGGAUUAGAUACCCUGGUAGUCCACGCCGUAAACGGUGGAUGCUGGAUGUGGGGCCCGUUCCACGGGUUCCGUGUCGGAGCUAACGCGUUAAGCAUCCCGCCUGGGGAGUACGGCCGCAAGGCUAAAACUCAAAGAAAUUGACGGGGGCCCGCACAAGCGGCGGAGCAUGCGGAUUAAUUCGAUGCAACGCGAAGAACCUUACCUGGGCUUGACAUGUUCCCGACAGCCGUAGAGAUAUGGCCUCCCUUCGGGGCGGGUUCACAGGUGGUGCAUGGUCGUCGUCAGCUCGUGUCGUGAGAUGUUGGGUUAAGUCCCGCAACGAGCGCAACCCUCGCCCUGUGUUGCCAGCACGUCAUGGUGGGAACUCACGGGGGACCGCCGGGGUCAACUCGGAGGAAGGUGGGGAUGACGUCAGAUCAUCAUGCCCCUUACGUCCAGGGCUUCACGCAUGCUACAAUGGCCGGUACAACGGGAUGCGACACGGCGACGUGGAGCGGAUCCCUGAAAACCGGUCUCAGUUCGGAUUGGAGUCUGCAACCCGACUCCAUGAAGGCGGAGUCGCUAGUAAUCGCGGAUCAGCAACGCCGCGGUGAAUGCGUUCCCGGGCCUUGUACACACCGCCCGUCAAGUCAUGAAAGUGGGUAGCACCCGAAGCCGGUGGCCUAACCCUUUGUGGAUGGAGCCGUCUAAGGUGAGACUCGUGAUUGGGACUAAGUCGUAACAAGGUAGCCGUACCGGAAGGUGCGGCUG
rnacentral:rRNA from 1 species